rnacentral:tRNA from 1 species
GUCAUUGACCCGACGAGAUUCCGUUCAGCUUCCCAAGCUGAACGCGCGAGUUCGAUUCUCGCUACCCGCUCCA